UUAAAAUCUCUUUAAAGAUUCGAUAAUUAUAAUCUAACAAUUUAAUGCACAUUCUAAUAUAUCUAACAAAUAAAUAAAUAUUUUCAGGUUUGAAUAUCGACUUCCAUUUCGACUUGAAUAGUCAAAUACCGAUCCAGUUGAACACACGUUAUCCGAGCAUUCGAUGUCAGCACACAGGUCUAUUGUGCUCAAUGGGAGAAGGGUUAACACCGGAAGAACAAGUUCUCCCUAUUCCAAUCUCUACCGUCACACAUCCGUGUGUCGACUCAAAGACGAUCGAUUCUCAUGCUUUAAAGCGAGGGGAAAAGCUUAUGAACAACAGUGAGAAGGUCUCGUAACCCUUUCCAUUCUCUCGUCUGAGAAAAGCGCGAGUUUCCAAGACGUUUUCCACGUCUGGAAACACAAGAGGCUGCUAGAUCGGAGCCAACGAUCAAGAAGAAACUGGCACGAGUCUUGGGACAUAAUUCUAGCCCCAGUAGUGUACCCUUUUGCGGUGACAGCGAGGAGAGGAGGUGGGGAAUACGUCGGAACCCGAUCAGAAAUCGGAAUCCCGUGGAAAGGAGGUUCCAUUAGCGAGAACGGAUUUCGAGGAAAGGAUUUCUCUGAAUCCUCGCCGUUCUAUUAAUGUCACAUCCAUCGCCGUCGGGGACUGGCGAAAAGAGGAAUAAAGGGAGGUACACGGUUGAAUAUGGGCAUUGUGCCAUAGAUGACUUGGCUAGAAAGAAAUGUGCGAUUCUGAUUGGUUGAUCCUGAUAUAUUUAUGACAAUAGGUAUCGAUAUUCAGGUACAUUGGCUAAAUUAUGUUUAUUGGAAAGAUUGUAUAAUAUGAGGUGAGUCUAAAAAAUAAUAAUUUUUUUUUUUUUACUUCAUUUUAUCCAAGCUAUUGUAUCUAA